AGAGUUUGAUCCUGGCUCAGGAUGAACGCUAGCUACAGGCUUAACACAUGCAAGUCGAGGGGCAGCGGGAUUGAAGCUUGCUUCAAUUGCCGGCGACCGGCGCACGGGUGAGUAACGCGUAUCCAACCUUCCGUACACUCAGGGAUAGCCUUUCGAAAGAAAGAUUAAUACCUGAUGGUAUGAUGAGAUUGCAUGGUAUCAUCAUUAAAGAUUUAUCGGUGUACGAUGGGGAUGCGUUCCAUUAGGUAGUAGGCGGGGUAACGGCCCACCUAGCCAACGAUGGAUAGGGGUUCUGAGAGGAAGGUCCCCCACAUUGGAACUGAGACACGGUCCAAACUCCUACGGGAGGCAGCAGUGAGGAAUAUUGGUCAAUGGACGAGAGUCUGAACCAGCCAAGUAGCGUGAAGGAUGAAGGUCCUACGGAUUGUAAACUUCUUUUAUAAGGGAAUAAACCCUCCCACGUGUGGGAGCUUGUAUGUACCUUAUGAAUAAGCAUCGGCUAACUCCGUGCCAGCAGCCGCGGUAAUACGGAGGAUGCGAGCGUUAUCCGGAUUUAUUGGGUUUAAAGGGAGCGCAGACGGGUCGUUAAGUCAGCUGUGAAAGUUUGGGGCUCAACCUUAAAAUUGCAGUUGAUACUGGCGUCCUUGAGUGCGGUUGAGGUGUGCGGAAUUCGUGGUGUAGCGGUGAAAUGCUUAGAUAUCACGAAGAACUCCGAUUGCGAAGGCAGCACACUAAUCCGUAACUGACGUUCAUGCUCGAAAGUGUGGGUAUCAAACAGGAUUAGAUACCCUGGUAGUCCACACGGUAAACGAUGGAUACUCGCUGUUGGCGAUAUACUGUCAGCGGCUUAGCGAAAGCGUUAAGUAUCCCACCUGGGGAGUACGCCGGCAACGGUGAAACUCAAAGGAAUUGACGGGGGCCCGCACAAGCGGAGGAACAUGUG
rnacentral:rRNA from 1 species